UCUGGAAUAGCUCAGUCAGCAGAACAUGAGACUCUUAAUCUCAAGGUCGUGGCUUCAAACCCCAGACUGAGCAAAA